CUUUUUCUAGUGCUGAAUGAAAAGACUACAUUAGAUUCUUUACCUGAAAAUGACUCCCUAAAGAGCCAGAGUUAUUUAAUAAUUGUGGGCCCAGCAAAUCGUAAAAGUAAGGUCCUUGAAAUACAAAUAAACUAAAUCUACCCCCAAAAAUAUACUAAGAGGUCAGUAAAAGUCCCUCCAGGGACCUGUAUCGUAAGAAUCAUGUGCUCAACUCCAUAUAUAAAGUGAGGAAUUAAGAAGAGCUUUUCCAAUACAGUCUUUCUCCACUACUGCUUUAUAUUUAGAGAUAACAGAGGCGGUAUUUUAACAAGAUUACGGGAAAGUUUUACAUUUACUUUUAAAAAAUUCCUGUUAUUCCACAAUAUCACAGCCGUUUCCAUUUUUCAUCUACCGUUUGCAUAUUCGUUUUCUUAUGGUAAUCACAAAAACCUGUGAUUGUGCUGAUGCGAUCUGUUUAUUUCCACUUUAGGUAAACUUUUAAAGAUAACUGUUAUUUCGUGCUCUCUCUCGCGGGAACGCAGCUGAGGACACGAGGAGUAGCCAACCCCAAGAAAAGCUAUGAAUUAGCGAGAGAGGACAGGCAGGCAGGGAGAGAAGGUGAGGGCUGGCCGUACCGCGGCCUCGAGGCCCCGCCUCCCCGGGCCCCAGGCCCAGGCUCCGCCUCCCCGGGCCCCGCCCCGGCCCGCCGCCAUGUUGUUCCCUUGGUGCUGGACGUGAGUAGCUGGAGUUGGACCUGGGCAGAGCUACUACGGUCUCCUGUCUGCGGGUCCCCGACCUUCUCUCCUCGUUGCACCCCGACGGGCCAGCCGGGACCUCCCCGGGCGUCCUCUGUGUGGCCACGAGAUAAUGAUGCUACUUGAACCGAACAAUUAAGGGUUCUAAG
ensembl:lncRNA